AGUGAACGCUGGCGGUAGGCCUAACACAUGCAAGUCGAACGGCAGCACAGUAAGAGCUUGCUCUUACGGGUGGCGAGUGGCGGACGGGUGAGGAAUACAUCGGAAUCUACUUUUUCGUGGGGGAUAACGUAGGGAAACUUACGCUAAUACCGCAUACGACCUACGGGUGAAAGCAGGGGAUCUUCGGACCUUGCGCGAUUGAAUGAGCCGAUGUCGGAUUAGCUAGUUGGCGGGGUAAAGGCCCACCAAGGCGACGAUCCGUAGCUGGUCUGAGAGGAUGGUCAGCGACACUGGAACUGAGACAGGGCCCAGACUCCUACGGGAGGCAGCAGUGGGGAAUAUUGGACAAUGGGCGCAAGCCUGAUCCAGCCAUACCGCGUGGGUGAAGAAGGCCUUCGGGUUGUAAAGCCCUUUUGUUGGGAAAGAAAAGCAGCAGGUUAAUACCCCGCUGUUCUGACGGUACCCAAAGAAUAAGCACCGGCUAACUUCGUG
rnacentral:rRNA from 1 species